rnacentral:rRNA from 1 species
UACAGAGGUCCCGAGCGUUGUUCGGAUUUAUUGGGCGUAAAGGGUGCGUAGGCGGCGGAGUAAGUUGGGUGUGAAAUCCCGAGGCCCAACCUCGGAAUUGCAUUCAAUACUGCUUCGCUCGAGUACUGGAGAGGAGGCUGGAAUUUACGGUGUAGCAGUGAAAUGCGUAGAUAUCGUAAGGAAGGCCGGUGGCGAAAGCGAGCCUCUGGACAGUUACUGACGCUGAUGCACGAAGGCCAGGGGAGCAAACGGG